CCCUUAUGAGGCAGUAGGAGUUUUCCAGGACUGAGCUGAAGCCUAUGAGCUGUUGUAAAUGAAAGAAGCAAUCUAAAUCACCAAGUCACACUGCCCUGGAAGCAUCUUCAUUAUGAAAUGAAAGACAGACAGAAUAAUAAGGAGGUGGGAAGCAGAAUUGCAAAUGACAAGGGGGUACCUGCAAGAAGAGAAAACCAGCCUGGAAAACACUGGAUUAUGAGCCAGCUCCUAUCUCUGCAAACAAACCUGAUUAGUCCUGGAGUUGUCUGGAGUAGAAAUCUACGCUUGCUGCUGACAUCUUCCUGCAGAGGAAAAUUACCUGAAGAAACCACCCCAGGAUCAUAUUUGUUUGAGUUAGCUUGUGUAAAUAAUGGGAAUUUAUGAUGAAACAUUGGAGUCAAUGUCUAGA